AUGAACGCUGGCGGCGUGCCUAAUACAUGCAAGUAGAACGCUGAAGGAGGAGCUUGCUCUUCUGGAUGAGUUGCGAACGGGUGAGUAACGCGUAGGUAACCUGCCUGGUAGCGGGGGAUAACUAUUGGAAACGAUAGCUAAUACCGCAUGACAACAGUUAUUGCAUGAUAACUGUUUAAAAGGGGCAACUGCUCCACUACCAGAUGGACCUGCGUUGUAUUAGCUAGUUGGUGAGGUAACGGCUCACCAAGGCGACGAUACAUAGCCGACCUGAGAGGGUGAACGGCCAAAAUGGGACCGGGACAAGGCCCAGACUCCUACGGGAGGGAGCAGUAGGGGAAUUUUGGCAAAGGACGGAAGUCUGACCGAGGAAAGCCGGGGGGGUGAAGAAGGGUGUCGGGUCGGAAAGCUCUGUUGUAAGAGAAGAAAGAGUGUGGGAGUGAAAAGUUCACAGUGUGACGGUAUCUUAACAGAAAGGGACGGCUAACUACGUG
rnacentral:rRNA from 1 species